rnacentral:lncRNA from 1 species
GGGUACCAUUGCUAGAUGGUCACUUCGAUUAGUAUAGGAAUUGGUUCCUGUGCUACCGGUUUAAGUUCGAUCCUGCGGGGUCACACACAUUAGAGGUUCCUAUCUGAUCCAAUGGCUGAUGAAGAGUCCUACGUGUCUGAAAUUCUGUGAUCGAGAAUCAGGAUUCUCUAAUCAUGAGUUCCACACAUUUUGGGUAUCGAGAUCAAAAGUCCCACUGGUUUGAGACUUUUCGAUCAGGGUUUCAUAUCGAUGAAUUCUGAUACCCGAUUGCCCAUCGGAUUUGGACUCAGUAUUUAUGAGAGGUUUAAUUAGUGAUUUGAUUGCUAAUUAACUCAAUUUGAUUGAGUAAUUAUUUUUGGAUCAAGUCCAAUUGAAUUGGAUUCAGUUGGGUUUGACCCGAUUAGGUUAAG